rnacentral:rRNA from 1 species
CCGGCGAUGUCCGAAUGGGGAAACCCAGUGCAAUUCGUUGCACUAUCGUUAACUGAAUACAUAGGUUAACGAGGCGAACCGGGGGAACUGAAACAUCUAAGUACCCCGAGGAAAAGAAAUCAACCGAGAUUCCCCCAGUAGCGGCGAGCGAACGGGGAGCAGCCCAGAGUCUGAAUCAGCUUGUGUGUUAGUGGAACGGUCUGGAAAGUCCGACGGUACAGGGUGAUAGUCCCGUACACCAAAAUGCACAGGCUGUGAACUCGAAGAGUAGGGCGGGACACGUGGUAUCCUGUCUGAAUAUGGGGGGACCAUCCUCCAAGGCUAAAUACUCCUGACUGACCGAUAGUGAACCAGUACCGUGAGGGAAAGGCGAAAAGAACCCCGGCGAGGGGAGUGAAA